AUUUUAGAAGUUUCCUUUGCUAUUUAUUCUUUCUGAACAUCUUAUGAACAGUCGUAAUAGGCUAGAGCUAAGCAUGUCUUUUACAGUUUUCCUCUGUGUUAGAAUUAUAGGGGAAAUCACUGUGACUUUGGUUAUCCGUACGCGAGAUAUUUCUCUAGAUACAAUGGAUUUUUAUUUGUGGCAAAUCCUAAUGUUCAAUUACUUUUCCAGUUUGAUAGAUACAAUUUCCAAGCUUGGGUUGCAGAUAUCAUCUGUCCUGCUUCAUAUGACUAUUGUGAUUGAUAAAAUCUUGGAGAAAGGUACCGUUGAGUACUUAAUAGUGCACACGGCCAUAUUGGAGUACUUUACAAUUGCAGAUAAGACCUCAGCCUCGGAUGCUAUUUGUCAACUUAUCCCCCUUCUUACUCAAGGGGCAUUAAUCAUAGAUGGAGAUGAACCUACAAACGCUCCAGAACUACCAAAGAAAGCAAAAGCUAAGAAGAAAAGGUCGAAAGAGCCACUUAUUGUUCGGAUCAUGCAGACAAGGGAAGGAUUAAAACUAGGAAUUAGUUGCCUCAAGUAUGGCAGUGCAAAGAUUAGCUUUGGAAGAUACACGAUUGGCCAAGCUUGAGCAUGGAUGAAAAUUCUCAGAUGAUCGCAAAGAUUGUUGUGGUUUGUAAUGAUGCAAUCAUUGGCCACUCUGAGCAUCAAUAUGUUGCUACAGGGAUGCCCACAAAAGCUGCUCUGAAGGU